GCUGUGUGUGCGUCUCUUAUAAAUUCAGCUCUGGGUCUGAUCAGCUGUCAGAAAGCUGCUCAACACAUCACUGCUGCUCUCAGAGUCAAGUGUGAAUUAUCAAAGAUCUGGUCGGGACCUCAGUCAGUCACCAUGAGUCCUAAACACGUCGUCUUUAAGAAGGUCUCCAAAGACAAGUUGGUGGCGGUCUACAUGGCCAAGAGAGACUUUGUGGAUCACUGUGACUUUGUUGAUCCAGUUGAUGGAGUUAUUGUGAUCGACCAGGGGCAGCUCAAAGGAAAGAAAGUCUAUGUGAUGCUGUCCUGUACCUUCCGGUAUGGCCGUCAGGACAUGGACGUGAUGGGUGUAGCCUUUAGGAGGGACCUGUUCGUGGUGACCCGGCAGGUUUACCCCGAGCUGCAGGACAAAGAGAAGCUGACUCACACCAAGGUCCAGCAGAAACUGCUCCACAAGCUGGGAGACAACGCUUUCCCCUUCUUCUUUGAGUUUCCAGACAACCUGCCGUGUUCUAUUGCUCUACAGCCUGGACCCUCUGAUGUAGGAAAGAAAUGUGCAGUGGAGUUUGAGGUUAAAGCUUUCUGUUGUGAAAAUCAGGACGAGAAGAUCAACAAACAGAGUUCAGUUCGUCUUACCAUUCGUAAGAUCCAGUUCAGUCCAGAGAACAGUAAACUGGUUCCAGUAGCAGAAACUACCUUUGAGUUCCUGAUGUCUGAAAAGCCUCUGCACCUCAAACUGAGUCUGCCCAAAGAGACGUUCUACCACGGAGAACCCAUCCCAGUCACUGUAGAAAUCACCAACUCGUCCAGCAGGAACAUCAAAGACAUCAGUGUGUCAGUUGAACAGGUGACCAACAUUGUUCUUUACUCCAACGACAAGUACGUCAAAUCAGUGGCCAAAGAGGAGACCAGUGACUCCGUCCCCUCUGGAACCAGUCUGAAGAAGGACUACACUCUGUAUCCUCUGCUGGCUCACAACAAGGACAGGAGAGGACUCGCUCUGGACGGACGACUCAAACACGAAGACACUAAUCUGGCUUCAUCUAGCAUAGUGAAGCAGGAGGUGCUGAAGGAGGUCCAGGGGAUGCUCGUCUCCUAUAAGGUCAUAGUGAGGAUGAUCGCCUCUGGCACCAUCGGAUCCAGUGAAGUGUCAUUGGAGCUUCCUUUCAAGCUGAUGCAUUCUAACCCUGAACCAGGUACAGGUCUUCCUCCUCUUCCUCUGGGUUUCUUUACUUCCCUGCUGACAAAUCAGAAGCUGUGUGUGUGUGUGUGUGUGUGUAAGCAGCUUGCUGUAUAUCGCUGACUGCAGUCAAUCAGCUCAACAACAACUUGAGUCACAUCCUGAAGAUUAACAGAUUAAUUACUGCUGAUCAAUACACAUUCACACACACACACACACACACACACACACACACACACACACACACACACGCGUCUGUGUGGACCCUCAGUGAUCCAUAAUCCUCCUCCAGACCUGAACCUGAAGCGCUUUAACCCUCCUGUAGAUGUGUAGGAAUAUUAUUGUUUUUUAUUAUAACUUCCAUUCAUAUGUUCAGUCUGAUAUUGAUUGAGUGAGAACAGGUUGUAUUGAUAUUAGUGCUGUCAAACGAUUAAAAUAUUUAAUCGCGAUUAAUCGCAUUAAUGUCAUAGUUAACUUGCAAUUAAUCGCACAUUUUUAUCUAUUCUAAAUGUCCCUUGAUUUCUUUUUGUCCCAUUAUUUUUUCUCAUUUCAAUGCUCUUAUCAACAUGGAAAAGUGGAUCGGCUUGCGUUGUGCAAAUGUUUUUAUUGAAAACAACAUUGGCAUAUACUGUAGUGUUCAAUAUCACAUUAACAGUCUCACUUGGAGCAAAUAAUCUCUCACACAAUGUAACACUGUCCAUCAAUAAAAGGGUGAAAAAAUACUUUGUCACACAAACAGCCCCUUCAACAGCCCUUUCUAAGGGAUCAAAACAGGGCGAUACAAAAUAAAAUUACAAAGUGCACAUGUAAGGUAAACUAGGACUCAGCCUAUAGUGCAGUUAAACCAUGGCUUAAUACUUUUCUCAAGUUUGCUUUGAACAUAGCAGUCAGGCUACUGCUCUUUAUUCACCAGAGGCUCAACCCAGCCUCUUAUUUCAGAAAGAAUGAACAGUAACGGUUACCAAUAAAAGGAAAGCCUACUACUUCUUUGCUUUGAGCCAGUUACUCAAACAGACAAGCCUGUUGACAUUUUCAGACAACAAGGAAUUCAUCCAUUUCGGCGUCUCGCGCUCGCCAUCCACUCAAAACGUAACGUCUACUACUCUUAAACAAGUGUGUGUGGGGUGCCUGUUGUUUUGUUUCCGGUCUAGCUAGAUCCGGUGUGGUGUUGUAGUUUUUCUAACGUUACUAGUUGUUGCAACAGCAUGUGAAAAAACUAUAAAGUGAGCUAGGCGUUAAUCUUGCGAUAAAAAAAUUGACGCCGUUAAAAUGGGUUUGCGUUAACGCUGUUAAUAACGCAUUAAACUGACAGCACUAAUUGAUAUGUGAUCUGAUGUUAUAUAAAUACAUAUAUAUAUAUAUAUAUAUUUGUUUGUAUAUAUUUGUAUAUUUAUGUUUAUAUUUUCUUGUGUCUGAACUCCACUGCACUGCAGCCAAAGAGGGCGAAUCAGACGACAUGGUGUUUGAGGAGUUUAAACGAGCCUACCUGAAGGGUGUGGUCUACGGAAGCGACGACGAGUCCCCCACAGAGGCGUAAAGACUUCAAAGAUGGCCGCCCUGCAGUGGGACUGUAGAUGAUUCGUGCAGCGCCCCCCGAGGACAGAAUGAGAAGUGCAGCCUGCGGGUGGCGCUCAUAGAGAUUAUGUCCCGAACUGAUCAUUUCUAGUUAAUGUGAUCAAUCAAUGUGACUGUAGAUAACGAGCCUGGAACGUAUUUAAAGGUAAACGAUUAAUUAAUGUAACUUUAUUAAUUACAAUGUCAUAAAUGUAAAAGAAAGACAAUCAGAGAUAUCUGUGACUGUCACUCAUAUAAAAACUGCCCUGAAUAAAAGCUGCUUGUGUCA